GUGUCAGCAGCCGCGGUAAUACGUAGGUGGCGAGCGUUGUCCGGAAUUACUGGGUGUAAAGGGCGCGUAGGCGGGGAUGCAAGUCAGAUGUGAAAUUCCGGGGCUUAACCCCGGGGCUGCAUCUGAAACUGUAUCUCUUGAGUGCUGGAGAGGAAAGCGGAAUUCCUAGUGUAGCGGUGAAAUGCGUAGAUAUUAGGAGGAACACCAGUGGCGAAGGCGGCUUUCUGGACAGUAACUGACGCUGAGGCGCGAAAGCGUGGGGAGCAAACAGGAUUAGAUACCCUGGUAGUCCACGCCGUAAACGAUGGAUACUAGGUGUAGGAGGUAUCGACCCCUUCUGUGCCGGAGUUAACACAAUAAGUAUCCCACCUGGGGAGUACGGCCGCAAGGUUGAAACUUAAAUAAAUUGGCGG
rnacentral:rRNA from 1 species